rnacentral:rRNA from 1 species
GACGAACGCUGGCGGCGUGCUUAACACAUGCAAGUCGAACGGAAAGGCCCUGCUUUUGUGGGGUGCUCGGGUGGCGAACGGGUGAGUAACACGUGAGUAACCUGCCCUUGACUUUGGGAUAACUUCAGGAAACUGGGGCUAAUACCGGAUAGGAGCUCCUGCUGCAUGGUGGGGGUUGGAAAGUUUCGGCGGUUGGGGAUGGACUCGCGGCUUAUCAGCUUGUUGGUGGGGUAGUGGCUUACCAAGGCUUUGACGGGUAGCCGGCCUGAGAGGGUGACCGGCCACAUUGGGACUGAGAUACGGCCCAGACUCCUACGGGAGGCAGCAGUGGGGAAUAUUGCACAAUGGGCGGAAGCCUGAUGCAGCAACGCCGCGUGCGGGAUGACGGCCUUCGGGUUGUAAACCGCUUUCGCCUGUGACGAAGCGUGAGUGACGGUAACGGGUAAAGAAGCACCGGCUAACUACGUG